UCCAUCCAUCCAUCCAUCCAUCCGAAUAAUCCAGUGGGAGGGGUGGGGCUGGAGAGGGAGCCAUUGUUUUUAUGUGUUUCCAUCCACUCACCAUCAGCAGGGAGUCUGCUUUUCAGUAGUCACUAAAUCGCUGCUAGCUAGGUUUAGAUUUUGAAAUAGUGCAAUUUUCAUGUAUCAUUAGGACUCCAUCCAUCCACCCAUGCACGCAUCCAUAUGGGAUGUCUGCCCACAUCUAUCUCCCCAAGUGUCUACAGUAACUUACAACAUCAACGUUGGAGCAGGAUCUGCCCCACAUCCUGGGAGACUGUGCUUCGAGGCGAUUCCCUGGUGACUUGAAACGUAAAACCACACCUUCCUGUGUGUCCUUGGAAGUCCCUGUCCCGCCUUUGGGAAGUUUGGGUUGUCCUCACUGGGGUGGGGGUGGGGCUCGGCCACCCCCUCCCAGCCGGUGAGCCUGAGAACUUGGUGGCCCACGCAGCCUGCCGCCUUAUCGCUACUGUUUGGUGUUACUACUUAUCUUCUCUCGUGGGAGGGCUUUUCCUGCCUUGCCAGCUUCCACUCCCUCCGCGCCUGCCUCCUGUCCUCCCACUGCCCCCACAGCCUCUGCCAACCAAGGUCACUGAUGACCUCCUAAUUGCCAGAUCUGACAGGCACUUGGGGGUUCUUAUCACAGUUGUCUUCUCUGUGGCAUCGGAGGAGGCUGACCCUGCCCGCCUGCUCUCCCGCUUCCUUGGCUGGUCCGGGCUCCGGACAGCUGCUAUUCGGUGACCUCCCGGGUUCCCAUUCCCGUGUGCCUCUGUGGGUUGUGCCCCCUCAGCUCCUUGUGGAGUUCCCAGGGCUCUAGCUGUGCGCUCUCCUGGGGUGCAGGCAUGCUCCCAUGGCUUCCUCUGCCGCCUCUGAAAGCCCCCGGGACAGAGUCUGUGUUCCUAGAUGCCUCGCCCUCCCCACCCUGCGGCUGGCCAGGCGCGCGGAACAGACACCUGGUCAGUCACCCAAUGACGCAGGUUCCAUUUGCUCCGUUGGUCCCAUUCUACAGUUUGCAGUUGAGAAGACAGAGGCUGGGUGAGUUAAAUGACUUGCCCGAGGUGACACGACAGUCAGGCUUCAGAGUCUGGACGCCGGAGGCAGGCGCUUGACUGGAUAUCCCAGCUCUAACAUCAGCUGUGUGACCUUGAGUAUAUCACUUAGCCUCUCUGUGCCUCAGUCUCCUCGUGUGGGUAAAGCUGAUUAUCAUCCUCAAGUGGGGAACAAAUUUGUAUGUCCUGGUAGGUCACCAUGAGGAUUGAGUGAGCUUAAUUACUUAGAAGAGUCCCAAGUGUCAUUCUGUCCCUCCAAAGCCCGUUCCCUUCCCACACCCUGAGGAAGUUAUGCUUUUUAAAAUUUUCAUGUUCUUCCUCAUGCCAUUCCCUUUGCCUGGAAUGUUCUUCCUUCCUUAUCCUUCUGGCCAGUUGAAGCUCGCGCUUUUAACACUCUGCCCAAAUGUCCCCUCCCCCAGGCAGAAAAGUGUUCCUUCUGUCAUAGCCCCUAUGGGGCCAGGUCACAGGGAUGCCUUCAGCUGCAAGAUGCGGAAACCCCAAACGAGCAGGCUUAAGCGGUGGGGUGAUCUGGGUCUCUCAGAACUGUAGGCCCAGGGGCGGGGCCUUUGGGGAAGGCUCAGCACCUGUUCUCCACAGCAAUCUUGGCUCUGCUUCCUCUGUGGGCAGACAGCCUCUCUGGGCAGGGAACGAGACGGCUCUGGGCUCACGCCCCUCCAGGACGGCGGCCGGAAGAGGAGGCAGAGGGUCGAUCCUGGACGCUCUCUGGACGAGAGAGAAACCGUGGUCCCGGAGCCCCCAGAAACCUCUAUUCCAGCUUUGGCGACCCACAUCCGAUCACCAGCCAGGAGCGGGGGCGGCAGUCGGGGCUACCCCUGGGGGAGGAACACCGGGCAGCUGGUGGGGUGGUGGGUCGUGGGUCCUGGAUCAGGGCGCUGGUAGGAGGGAGGACCUGACCAGGCUGGGCAGACGGGCGAUGAACGGGGGCAGGGUCAUUGAACCGUCUUGCGCAGGAACGGUGGGCACGGCCCGUCUUUUCCUCCCUGUACCCCUGGCCCGGCACACCUACUACUCACUUGCUGGGAGCCCUUUCUUCAGAUGGAAUACUUGGCAGGAGCCAAAGAUGAGGAACACACUUGAUGGACCAGCUUUGAGGUCUCCGCACAGCACGCCCUUCCUUCCCCAGAUGGCAAAGUCCCCAACUCAAGGACCGCGUCCCUUGCCCCCGUCUACAGCCAGUAUUGACCAAGGAGACCUGGACAAAAGUUGUUGAGUGGGAAAGGCACGCUCUUUAGUGCUUCGUCUCUCCUUUCCACCGCAAUUCUUUCUGCUUCCUGCCCAGAAUGAAGACUUGAUGGCUGGAGCUCCAGUGGCUAUUUUGGAACACGUGGCCCACUUAAGGGUAGACGGUGCACCAAAGUGGCAGAGCAGAAAGAUGGAAGUCUGAGUUGCUGAGGACUUUAAGGAGCUUCCCAAUCAUUGCUGGACUUCUUUAUAUGAGAGAAAAGUAAAAGUCUAUCUUGUUUAAGCCA